rnacentral:rRNA from 1 species
GCAGUGGGGGAAUAUUGCACAAUGGGCGCAAGCCUGAUGCAGCAACGCCGUGUGAGUGAAGAAGGUUUUCGGAUCGUAAAACUCUGUCCUAAGGGAAGAAACAAAUGACGGUACCUUAGGAGGAAGCCCCCGGCUAACUACGUGCCAGCAGCCGCGGUAAUACGUAGGGGGCAAGCGUUAUCCGGAAUCACUGGGCGUAAAGGGUGCGUAGGCGGCUUAGCAAGCCAGGGGUGAAAGGCAUUGGCUCAACCAAUGUAAGCCUUUGGAACUGUUAAGCUUGAGUGCAGGAGAGGUAAGUGGAAUUCCUAGUGUAGAGGUGAAAAUUCGUAGAUAUUAGGAGGAACACCAGUGGCGAAGGCGACUUACUGGACUGUAACUGACGCUGAUGCACGAAAGCGUGGGUAGCGAACAGGAUUAGAUACCCUGGUAG